rnacentral:lncRNA from 1 species
UUUAAGCUUUCAGGUAGAUUCAAAACAUAAAUAUCAUGACAAAGUCUAUUUAUACAUCACUGGUUUUCAGGUUACAGCACAUUUAACCAAAUUGAACCUCAUGUCUAUUUCAAAUCAGACUCAACCUCCAAAGAGCAGUGUCACUGACCAACAUACAAACAUGAAUAUAUUCAAACUAAAGUCUUAAAAUAAAGACAAAUUAACUCCUACAAUGAGAACAAAUGGCCAACAUGCUUCAAGUCUUUCAGAUUUCCAUAUCACAAGGUUUUUACAUUGAGAAGAGUUAAAUAGGUACCUGAAAGCACAAGUAAUAAAGGGUAAGAAGAUCAGCAACGCAAUAACAAGAGCAAGGGUCAGCAGCAAAGCAAAUCAACAGAACCAGCCAUCAGCUCCAAAAAUCAAAUUUCAAACCCAGAAAUUGAAAUAAACAACCAGAAACCAAUUUGAUCCAAACAAUGGACCAGGAAAACUUCAACCCAGGUUGAUUUUAAUUCAUUUCUAAGGUCAGCUAAUCAGGACUUGUUGUAUCAUCAGGAAAACUUCAGAAGUUAGCAAUAGAACUCAAUGGAAAAGUACCUGUUUUUUUUUUGAAUUUUUUUUUUGUCUAGAAUUUUCAGAGAUUUUUGGCUCUUCCAAG